GAUGAACGCUGGCGGCGUGCCUAACACAUGCAAGUCGAGCGAUUUACUUCGGUAAAGAGCGGCGGACGGGUGAGUAACGCGUGGGUAACCUGCCCUGUACACACGGAUAACAUACCGAAAGGUAUGCUAAUACGGGAUAAUGUGCUUUUGUCGCAUGGCAAAAGUAUCAAAGCUCCGGCGGUACAGGAUGGACCCGCGUCUGAUUAGCUAGUUGGUGAGGUAAUGGCUUACCAAGGCGACGAUCAGUAGCCGACCUGAGAGGGUGAUCGGCCACAUUGGAACUGAGACACGGUCCAAACUCCGACGGGAGGCAGCAGUGGGGAAUAUUGCACAAUGGGCGAAAGCCUGAUGCAGCAACGCCGCGUGAGCGAUGAAGGCCUUCGGGUCGUAAAGCUCUGUCCUCAAGGAAGAUAAUGACGGUACUUGAGGAGGAAGCCCCGGCUAACUACGUGCCAGCCGCCGCCGUAACAC
rnacentral:rRNA from 1 species